AUUGAAGAAAGUAUUGAAAAUUAUUAGAUUAUUUAGAUAUGAUUUAAAUUAAAUUUUUUAUAAUUAUAUAGUGGAAGUGAUAAAUAAAUUUAAGGGAUUAGAUUUGAAAGAUAGAGUGUAUGAAGAUUUAAGGAUGGAGGUUAGUGAUAUUGUAUAAGAGGUAGUGAUUAAGAUUAAUUUUAAGAUAAAGUUUAUUUAUGGGGAUCGUUUUUUUAAUUUUUUU
rnacentral:misc_RNA from 1 species